GACAGAGGUGCCGAGCGUUAGGCGGAAUCACUGGGCUUAAAGCGUGUGUAGGCGGGUCGUUAAGGGCCUUGUGAAAUCCCACAGCUCACCUGUGGAACUGCUGGGCAUACUGGCGAUCUUGAGCCACUUAGGGGCAACCGGAACAAACGGUGGAGCGGUGAAAUGCGUAGAUAUGCGGAGGAACACCGAUGGCGAAGGCAAUCCCCUGGACCUGUACUGACGCUCAUGCACGAAAGCGUGGGGAGCAAACAGG
rnacentral:rRNA from 1 species